AUGUUCGAGGAGCUUGCACCACAUGACCCACAUGACAAGUGUGGUCACCACUACAUGAUUUGCCUUGACCUGGAGAACCAACAAUUUGAGGUGCUCGAUUCAAUGCGUUCAGAAGCUGAUACAGACCUUACUACACAUGCUGAAUUCUUCAUCAACAACCUCAAAGAGACAUGGACCCAUCACUACGAAAACUCAAGGGUCCAGAUCAAUCAUUUUCCAAUCGAGUAUGUCGCGACUACGAAGCAAGGAAACCGGCAUGACUGUGGGUUUCACAUGUUGGAAUACCUUGCUAAGUGGGAAGGCUGA
rnacentral:rRNA from 1 species